rnacentral:rRNA from 1 species
GGUUGUAAACCUCUUUUMUCMGGGAAGAAUUAUGACGGUACCUMAGGAAUAAGCCUCGGCUAAUUACGUGCCAGCAGCCGCGGUAAUACGUAGGAGGCAAGCGUUAUCCGGAUUUAYUGGGCGUAAAGAGAGUGUAGGCGGUUCUUYAAGUCAGAUGUGAAAUCUCCCGGCUUAACCGGGAAAAGUCAUUUGAUACUGARGGGCUUGAGGUNCAGCAGARGGAARHGGAAUUCCCGGUGUAGCGGUGAAAUGCGUAGAUAUCGGGAAGAACACCAGUGGCGAAGGCGGNYUUCCUGGGCUGUUUCUGACGCUGAGGCNCGAAAGCGUGGGGAGCGAACMGGAUUAGAUACCCKGGUAGUCCACGCCGUAAACGRUGGACACUAGGUAUKGGGAGUAUCGACCCUCUCMGUGCCGMAGCUAACGCUUUAA